AUUUCAGGUUUGUGAACGCGCAAUUCAGUCAUCCACCGCGUGCCAAAAGAACGGAACAAUUCGACAAGCUUCGGGGGAUAUAUUUCUAAAAUAAAUAAACAAAUAAAAUAAUAAAAACUGUUUUGAGCAAGGCGCGUUGCUCCACAUUCGGACCUUACCUAUCUGCGGAUAGCGCCGUCAGGGUGAACACAGAUACUCCGACCGAAGUGAGCUGGAUGAACGGAAUGAGUUUGCAGCCUACUCUCCCGAAAAGCCACUUGUCCACCAGAUACCUACUGGCAUCCACUGGCGCGCAGGUAACUAACAAGAGCAAGUCUCCAAGUGCCAGGCUUGACAUGAACAGGUUGGGAACAGUUCUCAUUGAUGUUACUGUACAAAAUGUCUUGAUGAGCGUGAUGUUUCCGACAAGUCCAACAAGAAUAAGGAAUCCAUAAACAACGGUAAUGAUAAUUCCCGGAUACCAGAUGGGAUGUUCCGAAACAACUGGAGUGUGGUUACCUCGGGAUACAUCUGAAGAUAAUACAUUUGCCAGUACUGGGUUCAGAACAAACGUUUCUUCAAGAGACAUUUUGCGACCUGCUAGAAUAGAUUGUUCUCUGAGACUAAAUUCGUCCAAAAUCGCUUGGUUCAAUUUAAGAAAGCUUACAGCGUAAAUAGAGUCCAUGGAAUACAAAGGCUCUCAUCACAUUUUGCCAAAGCUUCUCUGAAAAUAGCAAAGAUGAGCUGGCAUCCGGAGAGACGGAGAAUGACUUUGAGUCCUUCAUCAUCAUAUCCAUCCGAUUGUCUCCAUGAGAGGUAAAGAGAACAUUGGUCUACAAUCUCCUCACUUCUUCAGCCCAUCACUUCUUCACUUCUGUCUGCCCAUUGGCUGUAUGAUUUUUCCAUUGAUCUGCUGCCUGCCCUCCUUGGGGAAGACUGUUCUCACUCUCUGCUCCUGAGUUUGCUGCCUUGGAAAACUAUGCCCUCAUUCGCCCCUUUGUGUCUCCUGCUGGUGCUGGCUUCUUCUCGUGGGGAAGAAAGAUGGAGGUUUCCGUCCAUGCAUCAAUUACCAUGGUCUUAACAAUGUCACUGUGAAGAACUGUUACCCCUCUACCACUGAAGUCCACUGCUUUUGAGCUGCUACCAGGAGUGCCAGUCUUUGAAAAACUGGACCUUCA